rnacentral:snRNA from 3 species
UAACUUACUUGGCGCGGAGGAUACCGUGAUCACGAAGGCGGUUCCUUCUGGGCGAGGCUCUUCCAUUGCACUUAGGUAGAGCUGAACCUUGCGAAUACUCCUAAUGUGGGUAUGUCGAGCGCACAAUUUUUGGUAGUCGGGACCUGCGUUCGCGCUGUCCCGGA